CAUAGGUUAAUGAGGCGAACCGGGGGAACUGAAACAUCUAAGUACCCCGAGGAAAAGAAAUCAACCGAGAUUCCCCCAGUAGCGGCGAGCGAACGGGGAGCAGCCCAGAGCCUGAAUCAGUGUGUGUGUUAGUGGAAGCGUCUGGAAAGGCGCGCGAUACAGGGUGACAGCCCCGUACACAAAAAUGCACAUGCUGUGAGCUCGAUGAGUAGGGCGGGACACGUGGUAUCCUGUCUGAAUAUGGGGGGACCAUCCUCCAAGGCUAAAUACUCCUGACUGACCGAUAGUGAACCAGUACCGUGAGGGAAAGGCGAAAAGAACCCCGGCGAGGGGAGUGAAAAAGAACCUGAAACCGUGUACGUACAAGCAGUGGGAGCACGCUUAGGCGUGUGACUGCGUACCUUUUGUAUAAUGGGUCAGCGACUUAUAUUCUGUAGCAAGGUUAACCGAAUAGGGGAGCCGAAGGGAAACCGAGUCUUAACUGGGCGUUAAGUUGCAGGGUAUAGACCCGAAACCCGGUGAUCUAGCCAUGGGCAGGUUGAAGGUUGGGUAACACUAACUGGAGGACCGAACCGACUAAUGUUGAAAAAUUAGCGGAUGACUUGUGGCUGGGGGUGAAAGGCCAAUCAAACCGGGAGAUAGCUGGUUCUCCCCGAAAGCUAUUUAGGUAGCGCCUCGUGAAUUCAUCUCCGGGGGUAGAGCACUGUUUCGGCAAGGGGGUCAUCCCGACUUACCAACCCGAUGCAAACUGCGAAUACCGGAGAAUGUUAUCACGGGAGACACACGGCGGGUGCUAACGUCCGUCGUGAAGAGGGAAACAACCCAGACCGCCAGCUAAGGUCCCAAAGUCAUGGUUAAGUGGGAAACGAUGUGGGAAGGCCCAGACAGCCAGGAUGUUGGCUUAGAAGCAGCCAUCAUUUAAAGAAAGCGUAAUAGCUCACUGGUCGAGUCGGCCUGCGCGGAAGAUGUAACGGGGCUAAACCAUGCACCGAAGCUGCGGCAGCGACGCUUAUGCGUUGUUGGGUAGGGGAGCGUUCUGUAAGCCUGUGAAGGUGUGCUGUGAGGCAUGCUGGAGGUAUCAGAA
rnacentral:rRNA from 1 species